ensembl:snRNA U1 U1 spliceosomal RNA
AUAUUUCCCUGGCAGGGGAGACACCAUGCUCACAAAAAUGGUUUUCCCAGGGUGAGGCUUAUCCAUUGCAUUCCAGAUGGGCUGACCCCUGCAAUUUCCCCAAAUAUUGGAAACUCAACUGCAUAAUUUGUGGUAGCUGGAGACUGUGUUUGUGCCCUCCCCUG